CACAGGUUAAUACACUCUACUGAUCCCUGAUGGGAGAAUCAUCAAUUUUGGCAACAAAGAAGCCUGGUGGAUGUUUGUUUACAGUCUGAUGAUGGGACAUCAUGCUCUGCAUCUUCAAAUCUUUUCGCAGGAUCAGAAAACAAAACCAGGAGGCGCGUAAAUGUUUCUUCUCCAUGAUGUUUCUUCAAAUGUUUCUUCUGGAUGAUGAUAAGACUGUGACACGGGAUGCCACCUUUGGUCUUGUGAUGAAGCAAAGGUCAGGAAGAAGUGGGAUUAACUGGUACCCACAUCUGAGAAGGAUGUACAGGGGCACCUGCAGCCAAAUCCAAGCUUCAGAGCAGAGCGGCAGUUUGUGCUCACAGAUGGUGACGGUGUGGAGAGACGGUGGUGUUUCCUCAGAAGAACCAGCAGAGUCACUUGCUGACUGAUGUUCGUCUGCACUGCACAGAGGAAAUCAACUGACCGAGGAGUGUUUCUGAGUGAGGGGGGAGGAGUCAUCAUCCAGGUAAAGUGACAUAGAUCAGUGGAUACACUUGUCUCCCCUUUAAAGGAGACGAUCCAAGUCAUCCUUAAAUAUGGGCAGCAUAUCAGUCUUGGACUGUGUAACCUGCCGGAGCAGCACUGAAUGACCACCACACAUGAGCAUGUUCCUGCAACAUUCAGCAUCUGAUCCUUCAUCUGUGUGCUUCUGCUUUUGUGUCACAUGUCAAACAGCUGGAGAGGAAACUACACCAGUGUACUGGGAUGUUUCACCAACACACCAGAUGCUGUUCCUUCAUGGUGACAUCACCAGAGACAGCCCCGCCCACCUCAGGACCUCGCCAUUGAUCAUGAUGAUUAUAAUGAUGACAGCGAGCGGAACUAAGACUGUAAAAAUCCACGACCAGAAUGUUUCUUUCUAAUUAUGAAUGAAUACUGAGAGCCUCUUUCUGUGUUUUGUCUGUUUUGGGGUUGUUUUUUUUACCUCAUUUGUUACUAACAAAGUUCACAAACUCACACAGUUUACAUUCUGUAUGUUUCCAUCUUUACCAGCCACACUAACUGCAUUUAAGAAAAUAAUCCUUAGAAAUCGUCGUUUUUCUCUUUUGUAAUUGAUGAUAAUUCAGUGAAUAUACUGCGCUGCUUCCUUUUAUUGCGUCACACAUUGCUUUAAGUUUUUCAGUGUCCAGUUAUUUUUUACUGCUGUUUGAAUUCUCUGUAUGUUUGACCCUGUAGACUGUUUGAUGGACUGCUUGUCUUCCUGUUUGUUACCGCCGCCUGUUUUUUAAUAAAGAUUUGGAUUUCUGACUUCA
ensembl:lncRNA